AAUCUGAGAGAGAAUAGAUGUGUGUACGUGUAUAACUGAAUCACUCUGUUACAUAGCAGACAUUAUCACAACAUUGUAAGUCAGCUAUACUUUAAUAAAACUUAAAAAAAAAAGUUUUGUACUGACACAUUGCCCUCUUGAAAGGCUACACCAAGGAGCAUUCCAACCCACAGUGUGUGAAGAUGGCUGUUUUCCUUCAACCCUACUGUCACCUACUGUCGCUAUACAUUAGCUAUACAUUAGCUGCACUUUGUUUAAUUGUUUUUAUUAUAAACCAUCUCCAAUUUGGGGGUGAAGGCCUUUAAUAAACUGACUUCUGAUAGCUUCCUCUCUGACUUCAGCUUUUCAGCGUCGCUCUUUUUUUGGUGUAGCCAUUCCUUACUGUUUGUGGGUCUAUGAAUAAGUAUGUAAUCAACAGAACAGUUGAUAUCCAAUCGGAGACUGGAUGUAUAUGUAUAUUUAAAUAUGACUGGAUUUUAGUCUUAUCUAGAGAAGACCUCAUAAAAUGCAAGUAUGAGCUCUCAAAGGCUUUGCCUCUGCUCAGCUCUGCCCUAUCACACCAAGGUGAAAAGUCCGCUCUAUCUGUAGACGUCUAUUCAAUUUCAUUUCCUUACAAGCACAGGUGGAAGGAGAAAGGAUGAAACAUCAUUAAUGAAGAUAAAUGAUGUUGGUGUUUAUAUAUGACGACUGUGAUAGUCUAUUGGCAAACACACUAGACUGUGGACAUUUGCAUUGUACAGUCAUGGUGAGAGCUGUUAUUUAUAUCAGGGGUCAGCAAAUUCUAGCCCAUGGACUAAGUCUAGCCACCCUUUGAUUUUGUAAAUGGAUGUUCAUUGGCUCAGUCACACCUGUUGAUUUGUCAAUCAAAUUGAUUUGUCAUCGUCUGUGGCUGUUCCCUUGCUACAACUUCAUAGUUGAGUUGUUUUGAUUCAGACUUUAUCCACAAAAACUAAAAUAUUGUCUGUAACUUUACAAAAAAAAAAAAAGUGUCCUGAUCCUUGACUUAUAUUCUACUUAAGAGCUUACAAAGAGUUUUCACCAGAAAGAUCCACUUUAGUCCUCACUGUCCCGUGACAGAAAGCUGGCCUUAUUACUCAUCCCAGUGUAUGGAUGUGUAAAUGGAUCUCUUCCAGGUUAAAUUGUUGUCCAAGAUCAUGCUUAGGUUCUGUGAGGAGGAGCUGGAUUUUUUUUUUCUUUUUAGAGCCACUCCCCUGUCAUGUGGAGGUUCCCAGCUACAGCUCUGAAUCAGCCCCUAGCCUGAGAACUUCCAUAUGCCUUGGGUUCAGCCCUACAAAAAAAACAAAAAAAACAAAAAAAAAAAAAGUUGCCUCUGUGCCCAGAGAAGAGGGCAGUGCCACUCUCACCUGUCCCUUAUCUCUUCUUUCCUAGUUGAUUUUCACAAUUGCAGGGUUGGGUUUGACGUGAGACAUGCAAAAAAAAAUGAGAAGGGAGAGGCGAUGUUAUAAACCCAUUUGAUGUGAUCCAAAUGGAUUCCAUCAGCUUGCUGCAUCACGGAGAUGAACUUAACAUGAGCGAGCAUCAUUCGUCUGGCAGGGCUGGAGCUCAGUUCCAGAGAGCGCCCGUGUCAAAUGAGAGGAGAGCAAGGGUCUUAUUAAGGCCCUGGCUGACAUCUCACCACAAAAAAAGAGAACAUCAAAGUCGGCCUGGUGUGCUGUCCACACAGGGAGUCCUGUGAAUAGGGCCCCAAUGUCAGGCCCAGUCUCAGUGGCCUUUUGCACCAUCCAACACAGGCUGGCCAUGAGCAUUUUUUGCACUGCACCAGGAUUGAGGUUUAAUUUGUGCAGAAACAACAGGCAUAAACUAGUUGUGUAGCUUAUCUGUUGCACAAUAGCUUAAACAGAGCCAAAUUAUACUCCUGUCCUCCCAGCAGGCGUGCCCACUAGCGCUGACACACACACACACACACACACACACACACACACACACACACACACACAGAGAGACCUCGAGAAGAUCUAUUAUAGCAGAAAGAUCGAUGACUCUGUUCCUCUUUCUUUAGAAUUAUAAGAUAAGCCCUUUACUUGUCCUGAAUCUUCGGUCACAUUCAAUGUAUAUGCAAAAGUUCAAAGGCUGACUCUGACAAAGGGCGUUUGGAGAAGUACGAUAAAAUGUGUCUGAUAAAACACACACAAAAGACUUUAGCAAUAAGACUUAUAAACUGGGAAAGCAGGACUUGGGCAGCGGGUUUGAAACAGUAUUAUCUACAGCUUCAGCACUGAAAGAUAGUGGCCCGGAGCAGGAGGCUUUAUCUGGCCUCCACAAGAAGAGAGAUUGUACCGCCCCCGAACCACCCUGUCUGCAAAGCCCAGGAAACACCUUGCAGAGGGACUGAUGCAACCAUCACCACCCUGGCCAGCCCUUGGUGACAGUUAAGAAGUGUCACAACACAGCAUUGAGCAACCACCUCAUGCAUCAUCUCGGCCUGGCCUGUGUUUUACGCGACACUUUCCCACUGGAGAGACAAAAUGGGACGUUUAGGCUGACAUUUUUUUGGUUCUUCCCUUGCUUUCAGUUUAGAUCGUCAAAGAGAGGCAAGGGGCAUUUUCCCUUCUGCUUUUCCCAUACAGUUUGAAACAUCCUUUCCCAACUGACGUUUCAGGUAGAGGAUUAGUCACAGUCGUUCUUUGCAUCUUAUUGCAUUAAUUUCUCGAGAGUUUCAAGGGGUUCUCCGUACCUCUCCUGGGAGAUUCAUGACUCAGUCCCCGCAGUUUCUUCAAAGCUGGAGUUUAAUUUAUGUGAUUGCAAUUGGAAAGCCACUUUGAAAGGGGAGAAAUCAACUUAGUUUUUCGUGAGUUCUAAAUUUUCUGUAAAUAAAAUUUCACAAGUCUAUCCCUCUUAAAAAAAAAAAAAA
rnacentral:lncRNA from 1 species